rnacentral:lncRNA from 1 species
CCUGUAUACCAUACCAGUGUCUCCACACUCCUUGGUUAAGAGGACAACCAACCCAUAUGGCCUACAGCAACCUAUGCUUGAUAGAAGCUAUCGUCCUUAUUAACAGCCCAUCAUUUGGUCUUGAACAGUUUUAAGGACUAAUCGAUAAAUCCUCUCUUUAUCGAACCUAAAUAGUCCUAAGGACUUCAUCACAACAAUGGUGUUCAUUAGAAGAUGAAAACUUGUGAUGAAAAUAUCAAAAAUAUAUUUUAUUUAUUAACAAAUCAAUUAUAAUACAAGGUUGCUCAACCGUCAACAGGUUGAUGAUUGGCUUUUAGGACA